rnacentral:rRNA from 1 species
UACGUAGGGUGCGAGCGUUAAUCGGAAUUACUGGGCGUAAAGGGUGCGCAGGCGGUUUUUUAAGACAGAUGUGAAAUCCCCCGGCUCAACCGGGGAACUGCGUUUGUGACUGGAUAGCUAGAGUGUGGCAGAGGGGGGUGGAAUUCCACGUGUAGCAGUGAAAUGCGUAGAGAUGUGGAGGAACACCGAUGGCGAAGGCAGCCCCCUGGGCCAGUACUGACGUUCAUGCACGAAAGCGUGGGGAGCAAACAGG